CGAGGGGAGUGAAAAAGAACCUGAAACCGUGUACGUACAAGCAGUGGGAGCACGCUUAGGCGUGUGACUGCGUACCUUUUGUAUAAUGGGUCAGCGACUUAUAUUCUGUAGCAAGGUUAACCGAAUAGGGGAGCCGAAGGGAAACCGAGUCUUAACUGGGCGUUAAGUUGCAGGGUAUAGACCCGAAACCCGGUGAUCUAGCCAUGGGCAGGUUGAAGGUUGGGUAACACUAACUGGAGGACCGAACCGACUAAUGUUGAAAAAUUAGCGGAUGACUUGUGGCUGGGGGUGAAAGGCCAAUCAAACCGGGAGAUAGCUGGUUCUCCCCGAAAGCUAUUUAGGUAGCGCCUCGUGAAUUCAUCUCCGGGGGUAGAGCACUGUUUCGGCAAGGGGGUCAUCCCGACUUACCAACCCGAUGCAAACUGCGAAUACCGGAGAAUGUUAUCACGGGAGACACACGGCGGGUGCUAACGUCCGUCGUGAAGAGGGAAACAACCCAGACCGCCAGCUAAGGUCCCAAAGUCAUGGUUAAGUGGGAAACGAUGUGGGAAGGCCCAGACAGCCAGGAUGUUGGCUUAGAAGCAGCCAUCAUUUAAAGAAAGCGUAAUAGCUCACUGGUCGAGUCGGCCUGCGCGGAAGAUGUAACGGGGCUAAACCAUGCACCGAAGCUGCGGCAGCGACGCUGAUGCGUUGUUGGGUAGGGGAGCGUUCUGUAAGCCUGCGAAGGUGUGCUGUGAGGCAUGCUGGAGGUAUCAGAAGU
rnacentral:rRNA from 1 species